GGGUUGUGAGGUUAAGCGACUAAGCGUACACGGUGGAUGCCCUGGCAGUCAGAGGCGAUGAAGGACGUGCUAAUCUGCGAAAAGCGUCGGUAAGGUGAUAUGAACCGUUAUAACCGGCGAUGUCCGAAUGGGGAAACCCAGUGUGAUUCGUCACACUAUCGUUAACUGAAUACAUAGGUUAACGAGGCGAACCGGGGGAACUGAAACAUCUAAGUACCCCGAGGAAAAGAAAUCAACCGAGAUUCCCCCAGUAGCGGCGAGCGAACGGGGAGCAGCCCAGAGUCUGAAUCAGCUUGUGUGUUAGUGGAACGGUCUGGAAAGUCCGACGGUACAGGGUGAUAGUCCCGUACACCAAAAUGCACAGGCUGUGAACUCGAAGAGUAGGGCGGGACACGUGGUAUCCUGUCUGAAUAUGGGGGGACCAUCCUCCAAGGCUAAAUACUCCUGACUGACCGAUAGUGAACCAGUACCGUGAGGGAAAGGCGAAAAGAACCCCGGCGAGGGGAGUGAAAAAGAACCUGAAACCGUGUACGUACAAGCAGUGGGAGCACCUUCGGGUGUGACUGCGUACCUUUUGUAUAAUGGGUCAGCGACUUAUAUUCUGUAGCAAGGUUAACCGUAUAGGGGAGCCGCAGGGAAACCGAGUCUUAACUGGGCGUUAAGUUGCAGGGUAUAGACCCGAAACCCGGUGAUCUAGCCAUGGGCAGGUUGAAGGUUGGGUAACACUAACUGGAGGACCGAACCGACUAAUGUUGAAAAAUUAGCGGAUGACUUGUGGCUGGGGGUGAAAGGCCAAUCAAACCGGGAGAUAGCUGGUUCUCCCCGAAAGCUAUUUAGGUAGCGCCUCGUGAAUUCAUCUUCGGGGGUAGAGCACUGUUUCGGCUAGGGGGUCAUCCCGACUUACCAACCCGAUGCAAACUACGAAUACCGAAGAAUGUUAUCACGGGAGACACACGGCGGGUGCUAACGUCCGUCGUGAAGAGGGAAACAACCCAGACCGCCAGCUAAGGUCCCAAAGUCAUGGUUAAGUGGGAAACGAUGUGGGAAGGCACAGACAGCCAGGAUGUUGGCUUAGAAGCAGCCAUCAUUUAAAGAAAGCGUAAUAGCUCACUGGUCGAGUCGGCCUGCGCGGAAGAUGUAACGGGGCUAAACCAUGCACCGAAGCUGCGGCAGCGACACUAUGUGUUGUUGGGUAGGGGAGCGUUCUGUAAGCCUGCGAAGGUGACCUGUGAGGGUUGCUGGAGGUAUCAGAAGUGCGAAUGCUGACAUAAGUAACGAUAAAGCGGGUGAAAAGCCCGCUCGCCGGAAGACCAAGGGUUCCUGUCCAACGUUAAUCGGGGCAGGGUGAGUCGACCCCUAAGGCGAGGCCGAAAGGCGUAGUCGAUGGGAAACAGGUUAAUAUUCCUGUACUUGGUGUUACUGCGAAGGGGGGACGGAGAAGGCUAUGUUAGCCGGGCGACGGUUGUCCCGGUUUAAGCAUGUAGGCUGGUUGUCCAGGCAAAUCCGGAUAAUCAAGGCUGAGGUGUGAUGACGAGGCACUACGGUGCUGAAGUAACAAAUGCCCUGCUUCCAGGAAAAGCCUCUAAGCAUCAGGUAACAUCAAAUCGUACCCCAAACCGACACAGGUGGUCAGGUAGAGAAUACCAAGGCGCUUGAGAGAACUCGGGUGAAGGAACUAGGCAAAAUGGUGCCGUAACUUCGGGAGAAGGCACGCUGGUGUGUAGGUGAAGUCCCUGCGGAUGGAGCUGAGACCAGUCGAAGAUACCAGCUGGCUGCAACUGUUUAUUAAAAACACAGCACUGUGCAAACACGAAAGUGGACGUAUACGGUGUGACGCCUGCCCGGUGCCGGAAGGUUAAUUGAUGGGGUUAUCCGUAAGGAGAAGCUCUUGAUCGAAGCCCCGGUAAACGGCGGCCGUAACUAUAACGGUCCUAAGGUAGCGAAAUUCCUUGUCGGGUAAGUUCCGACCUGCACGAAUGGCGUAAUGAUGGCCAGGCUGUCUCCACCCGAGACUCAGUGAAAUUGAACUCGCUGUGAAGAUGCAGUGUACCCGCGGCAAGACGGAAAGACCCCGUGAACCUUUACUAUAGCUUGACACUGAACAUUGAGCCUUGAUGUGUAGGAUAGGUGGGAGGCUUUGAAGCGUGGACGCCAGUCUGCGUGGAGCCAACCUUGAAAUACCACCCUUUAAUGUUUGAUGUUCUAACGUUGGCCCCUUACCGGGGUUGCGGACAGUGUCUGGUGGGUAGUUUGACUGGGGCGGUCUCCUCCCAAAGCGUAACGGAGGAGCACGAAGGUUAGCUAAUCCUGGUCGGACAUCAGGAGGUUAGUGCAAUGGCAUAAGCUAGCUUGACUGCGAGCGUGACGGCGCGAGCAGGUGCGAAAGCAGGUCAUAGUGAUCCGGUGGUUCUGAAUGGAAGGGCCAUCGCUCAACGGAUAAAAGGUACUCCGGGGAUAACAGGCUGAUACCGCCCAAGAGUUCAUAUCGACGGCGGUGUUUGGCACCUCGAUGUCGGCUCAUCACAUCCUGGGGCUGAAGUAGGUCCCAAGGGUAUGGCUGUUCGCCAUUUAAAGUGGUACGCGAGCUGGGUUUAGAACGUCGUGAGACAGUUCGGUCCCUAUCUGCCGUGGGCGCUGGAGAAUUGAGGGGGGCUGCUCCUAGUACGAGAGGACCGGAGUGGACGCAUCACUGGUGUUCGGGUUGUCAUGCCAAUGGCACUGCCCGGUAGCUAAAUGCGGAAGAGAUAAGUGCUGAAAGCAUCUAAGCACGAAACUUGCCCCGAGAUGAGUUCUCCCUGAGACUUUAAGUCUCCUGAAGGAACGUUGAAGACGACGACGUUGAUAGGCCGGGUGUGUAAGCGCAGCGAUGCGUUGAGCUAACCGGUACUAAUGAACCGUGAGGCUUAACCUUACAACGCCGAAG
rnacentral:rRNA from 1 species